UCUGGUUAUUUGAGCGACUUGGCCCCACCCUUUCCCAUCCCGAACAAGGUCGUGAAACGAGUCAGCGCCGAUGAUACUAUCACGCUUAGCGUGAGGGGAAAGUAGGUCAUAGCCAGAG
rnacentral:rRNA from 5 species